rnacentral:tRNA from 2 species
GCGCCCAUAGCGCAAUUGGAUAGAGCAGUGGUUUUCGAAACCAAAGGUUCUAGGUUCGAGUCCUAGUGGGCGUA